AGGGGUUUAGGCUAACACUAGACCGCGGGCCUUCAAAGCCCUAAGCGGGAGUGAAAAUCUCCCAACCCCUG
rnacentral:tRNA from 1 species